UCUCUGUGUCGGAGUCACCCUCUCUCCCAUGUUUGCCUUUUAGAGUGGAACAGAGGAACCCACUUGUACUUCAUCCCCACACCAGCAGCUGCAUGCACCUCGGGCCCCGCAUCUUCCAGCGGCUCUAGAGGUGGUGCUCAAACUUGGGAAAGAACGAUGCAGUCGUCUCUCUACGGGAACUCGAAGGCGGCCAAGGCGUCGACGAAUCCGACCAACCGUUACGAGCAUAUGGAGGAAGAGAUCCACCGCGAGAAUGAGGCGAUGCUACGUGCACUCGGCAGCAGCGUGGCGCACAUGAAAACAAUGGCCGGCCACCUCAACCGUGAGGCGGAGGAACAAAACGAACUCCUCAGAUCGCUUGACAAGGUCUUUCAGACGGCUCGCUGUGGCGUGAACUCGGCGGUGAGCUCCGUUAAGAGUGUGAUGGGCCGCUACGGGUGGAAGCACACCGCCGCCUUCGGCUGUAUUGGCUUCUUGCUUCUCUACUUCAUCUAUGCGGUCUUCCUAAAGCAGGCGUGAAGGGCGGUGGCCGUCCUGUGCAAGUGAGCGAUGCAGCCCUGUUCAAGCGGCCUCCCAGCAUAUAUCUGCUGAGGAGGUGCAUCGGUGAAAGACCCUCCUCCCGCUCGACCGUAGCAGCCCACUGGCGCGCUUCCCACUGCCCUCGUGCCCGAAGAGGAAAGGGAAGCUAUUUCCUCCAAUCGUCGCACUGGGCUCUGUGGGAUCGGCUCUCCGUCCUGCUUUGUAUUUUGCACCGCCCCUCCAAUGUUUGCUUCGCGCGCUCAUCGCUUCCAUUCAUGGCCCUCUCACUCUCUCGGUGCGUUGCUAAUCAAAAACACGCGCACAAAUGCCUUCACCUACGCUGAGGGCUAGUACCCUCCUGCAGUGCUGGGCGUGAAGAGGGCUGGUGUUGUAAGAGUUACUUGCUUUUGCAUGGUAUCCGCGGCAGCCAUGAGAGGGUGAUCGCGGAUAGGAUCGGACUCCGCCGUGUUGCACUAUACCUCUGUCCAGGCCUCUUCUGCUCUGUGUUUGACCGAAAGCAGCAGCGAAGUGUCACCCCCUCCCCCGCUUCGCCUUCUGCUCCUCCUCUCUCAUUCAUGCAUCCGCCGACAUAUGCAUCUGUUCACCUUUUUCUUUCCUACUGUGCCAUCUUUACCGUGACAACACCUCCUUCUCUUCCGCUGCGGUUGUCUCUGCGCACACGUAG
rnacentral:misc_RNA from 1 species